GAUGAACGCUGACAGAAUGCUUAACACAUGCAAGUCUUUGGCGAAGCUGUGCUUGCACAGCCUAGCCAAGGCGGACGGGUGAGUAACGCGUAAGGAACUUGCCCUGCAGUCAGGGAUAACAGACGGAAACGACUGAUAAGACCUGGUAAAGUCAGGCGGACUCAUGUCCAGCCUGAUGAAAAGAGAUGCUGCAGGAGAGCCUUGCGUCCUAUUAGCUUGUUGGUGGGGUAACGGCCCACCAAGGCGAUGAUAGGUAGCCGGCCUGAGAGGGUGGACGGCCACAAGGGGACUGAGAUACGGCCCUUACUCCUACGGGAGGCAGCAGUGGGGAAUAUUGGGCAAUGGGGGCAACCCUGAUCCAGCAAUUCUGUGUGCACGAUGAAGGUUUUCGGAUUGUAAAGUGCUUUCAGCAGGGAAGAAAAAAAUGACGGUACCUGCAGAAGA
rnacentral:rRNA from 1 species